CACGUAGGGUGCGAGCGUUGUCCGGAGUUAUUGGGCGUAAAGAGUUCGUAGGCGGUGUGUCGCGUCGGCCGUGAAAACCUGCAGCUUAACUGUGGGCUUGCGGUCGAUACGGGCAUCACUGGAGUUCGGCAGGGGAGACUGGAAUUCCUGGUGUAGCGGUGAAAUGCGUAGAUAUCUGGAGGAACACCGGUGGCGAAGGCGGCAUCCUGGACCGGUAUUGACGCUGAGACGCGAAAGCCAGGGGAGCAAACGGG
rnacentral:rRNA from 1 species